rnacentral:rRNA from 1 species
AUUGAACGCUGGCGGCAGGCCUAACACAUGCAAGUCGAGCGGGGUUUUCGGACCUAGCGGCGGACGGGUGAGUAAUGCGCAGGAAGCUACCCGAUAGAGGGGGAUACCAGUUGGAAACGACUGUUAAUACCGCAUAAUGUCUACGGACCAAAGUGUGGGACCUUCGGGCCACAUGCUAUCGGAUGCGCCUACGUGGGAUUAGCUAGUUGGUGGGGUAAUGGCUCACCAAGGCGACGAUCCCUAGCUGGUUUGAGAGGAUGAUCAGCCACACUGGAACUGAGACACGGUCCAGACUCCUACGGGAGGCAGCAGUGGGGAAUAUUGGACAAUGGGCGCAAGCCUGGUCCAGCCAUGCCGCGUGUGUGAAGAAGGCCUUCGGGUUGUAAAGCACUUUCAGUAGGGAGGAAGGGUGUUGUGUUAAUAGCACAGCAUUUUGACGUUACCUACAGAAGAAGCACCGGCUAACUCUGUGCCAGCAGCCGCCGUAAGAC